UCUAAGGUGACCGUUGGUUUUUAAAUUGAGGCGCCGAACGGUUCAGUUUUAAGCUUCGCGGUUGUGCGCUCGAGUUCGAAUUUCCCACCCUUCCCUCGUGACGUUUCUCAUACUAUUUGAAUUUGGCGCGGAGUGCGGCCAUACUGGAUUCUCAUAUUGGAGAUUGGCGCGCUAAGCGGCCAUCGCAGUUUGCCAUACUGGAGCUUUUGGCGCGCGGCGUCACGGGAACGUUCUCGGAAGCAGAGAGAGCAGUGAGAGUCAGUUUCCGGUUGUCAGUCCGGUGAGAAUGACGGGAGUAGAGAGCAUGUGUUUUUAAUCUUUAAUCAUCGGAGAUAUCUUUUGAGUGGAGAACUGCUGUAGUUCAGUUUUAUGCUUUAGGGCAUUUAUAUUUUAAUUGAAGAUAAGUUGGUGAUGUUUUAUUUUGAUGUUCCAAGCGUUUUUCUUCUAUGUGCUGGCUCACAUUCUUUUGUGCAUUGGAACGUUUUUUGAUGAACCCGAUGUGCACUGUGGUGAUUUCCUGACUGGAUCCCAGUGUUUAUUUUACACCUGAUCGGGUUCUUGGUUAUGUUAUAACCCUACCAUGUGUUUAUGGCUCUCAUGUUUGAUUGGUUUUGCCAUUGCUCCCGCUUGCUGUGAUUUUGAGGUUGCUGUUCAGCUUCAUCUUUCUUCUAGAGUUUCUCCCGGACUCAUGUAUAUUUUAUUUGUAUUUCUGCGUAUAGUCAGUUUGACUGCGGUAAUUUGGUAGAGCCUUUGAGGUGUCUGCUUUUAUUAUGACCUUGUGAUUUGAGGUCUAUGAUCUGAAUUCUCUAGUUUUACUAGAACUUUUCUGUAAUGUCUGGCUUUGUAUUGUAGCCAUUUUGAGUUGAGAUUUUGAGAUUGUUUGAGGGACUUACUUGUACCUCGUUUGAGAUUGGCGGUUAUUUAGCGCCUGUGUACCUUGAGUUUCAUGGAGCGUUUUUAGCUCUAGUUAGAGGCUGGUCCUCUGUCUUUUAAUUGUUUAAGAUUUGUUUGGCUGUUAGCCUUUAUCUUCUUUGAGAAGUUGUGAACUUGUAGUUCCUGUUUGAGUGUUAGUUUCUGAAUUUGGAGGUACUUGGAGUCAGUGUUUGUACUUCUUCACGCUGUGAUAUUGUUUGUCUUUGUAUUAUUAAAGCCUUUGAAUUGUUAUUGUUAACCUGAGUAACUUCUGUAGCCAUAACCUUUGACGGUGACUUGUCACCUGGCGCCCAUUUAUUAUAGAGGACUUUAAGUCAAAGUUGAA